UACGUAGGGUGCGAGCGUUAUCCGGAUUUAUUGGGUUUAAAGGGUGCGCAGGCGGAAGAUUAAGUCGGUGGUGAAAUUUUGCAGCUCAACUGUAAAAGUGCCAUUGAUACUGGUUUUCUUGAGUGUGGAUGAAGUAGGCGGAAUUUGUGGUGUAGCGGUGAAAUGCAUAGAUAUCACGAGGAACUCCGAUUGCGCAGGCAGCUUACUAAACUACUACUGACGCUCAGGCACGAAGGCGUGGGGAUCAAACAGGAUUAGAUA
rnacentral:rRNA from 1 species